GUCGAGGAACUAGAGCAAGCACGCUUGUAGUCGUUUCGUUUGGAACACUGCCCUGCAUCCCCGCCACACACAAUUACUAUUGUUGUUUAUGCAAUCCAAAAACGGUCUAUUAUAAAUCGCAAUCUGGGUCAGAUGGGCGUCAGUGCUUAAUUUGAGCCGGAUCCCGAAACCUCUCCGUUUAUUUUUUUUUUUUUCGGAACCAAUUCCGGUACCUCUCCUAUUGCAUUUCAAAUUAUUUUCACUGGUAGUUAUGUAAUAAGUGUAAUAAAAGCAAUCACUUAAUUGAUGUUGACUCCUCAAUAAUUCUACUGCUCCCUAAAAAACAAUGUGAAAACGUGCUUGAUAUUCUAAGAAUUGAUUCAUGUUGGAGCGGCCGGGUUUAUGUUUUCCGCAACAUUGUAGCCUAUAUAGCACAACACUGUGGUGAGAGAGAAGCGCGCCUGUAUCUCGCACCGAACUGAAGAGAUUAACUUUCUAUUAUGUCUUUCCCCCUCUCUGCUCUGAUAGACAUGAGCCUGCAACACUCAUCUUUUCAGCGUUGCACUUCGUAAUUUAUUUCCUUAUAGAAUCAUAGCCACAGGGGGUUCCACAGCACCCCUGAUUGAUUGAAAUACAUUUGCCGAAGUUUUGCUUCGUCGCCAAACCCACUGGCUCCAGGUUAUCUAUAAGUCUUUGCUAGGUAAAGCCCCGCCUUAUCUCAGCUUACUGGUCACCAUAGCAACACCCACCCUUAGCACGCGCUCCAGCAGGUAUAUUGCACUGGUGAUCCCCAAAGCCAACACUUCCUUUGGCCUCCUUUCCUUCCAGUUCUCUGCUGCCAAUGACUGGAAUGAACUGCAAAAAUCACUGAAGGUGGAGUCUUAUAUCUCCCUCUCUAACUUUAAGCAUCAGCUGUCAGAGCAGCUUACCGAUCACUGUACCUGUACACAGCCAAUCUGUAAAUAGCACACCCAACUACCUCAUCCCCAUAUUAUUCCUUACCCUCUGGCUCUUUUGCACCCCAGUAUCUCUACUUGCACAUCAUCAUCUGCACAUCUAUCACUCCAGUAUUAAUGCUAAAUUGUAAUUAUUUCGCCUCUAUGGCCUAUUUAUUGCCUACCUCCCUACUCUUCUACAUUUGCACACACUGUACAUAGAUUUUCUAUUUUUCUUUUCUAUUGUGUUGUUGACUGUUCAUUUGUUUAUGUGUUGUUGUUUUUGUUGCACUGCUUUGCUUUAUCUUGGCCAGGUCGCAGUUGUAAAUGAGAGCUUGUUCUCAACUGGCCUACCUGGUUAUAUAAAGGUGAAAUAAAAUAAAAUUUAAAAAAAUCAACAUUCCAUAUAAGAAUUGGGGUAAAUUAAAAUUGUCAGUCAAUUCAGGAAGUGUACUGAAAAAUUAUAAUUCAAUAAGAGUUAGGUACUUUCAAUUACUUCUCAAUAAACUGAAAAGGAGAAACUAUUUCAAACGUUUUUCAACUUUGUAAUUUUAAAUUCGAUUCCCUUUCUGAAUUAGAAUUGACCCAUACCCUGUUCCACAUUAUGCCAUAAUGCUGUUCCACUGUGUAGUUAGCUCAUUAGUGAUGUCAUAAUGUAAUUCUACUGUGCAGUCUGUGAUGUCAUAAUACCAUGACAUUCCAAUCAGCAGUUCUCAUUACCUCUUUGUUGUUACUUUUCAACCUGGCUGUGUAAAACACUGAGAGACACAGACACAGUGCAGAGAGAGGGACCUUUCCCCCACUGGCUCUUGUGGUGUUGUGGUUGUGAAGAUGGUGAGGAAGAGUGGGGCGUUCGACCUGAACCGCUGCACUGUGCGGCAGCUGGUACAGCUGUCUGGCAUCCCUCUGGACAACGCCAGGAAGCUGGUACGCUUCAGGGGUCGCCAGCAGAGGAGGGCCCGCCGCAUGGAGGAGGAGAGGAGGGCCCGACUGGAGAGGCGACAUAAUCUCCGGGCUGAGCUCCAGGAGGAGGAGGGGGAAGUUGUAAGGUCACACAGGCACCGAGCUGGAGCAGUGCUGGGACCUGCACCGGGACCGGGUAACAGGAAACGUACAGAGGAUGGUGUGUCCAUGUUGUCAGCACCAGCAGUUCAUCCUCCAAGACAAAUGUCUGGCCAGAGGCAUAUUUCCCUGCUUGAGAACCAGCAGCAGCAGGACCAGGAGGAGGUCCACCAGCCCAGCCCAGGGCCCUCUCACCCGGCUGGGCUAGAACUAGAGCCAGAGACCCUCCCUCUCCGGAGACUCAGUGAGAAUGAGAGAAGAAUAAGCAGGGGAAGCCAGCAGCACAGCAGACGCAGCAGUAGGAUGAAGUCUGGGCAGCGGGACAGUCGUAAAGUUAUUGUCGUCGAGAUCAGGACACCCAGGGACAGAGUGUACAAGGACCACAGUAAUGAUCCUAUGAGUGAAGAUGAGACAGAGUUCCAAUAUGACUUUCCAGUGAAACGAGAGGACAAGGCGACCCACUACUCUGGCCCCAUCUACUCUCCGCUCCUACAACCACAGGAUCUGCUGCCACAACAACAGCCCUACAGCUUCUCUCCAGCACAACUAAUUCAGCAGGAGACCUCCAUGGAUCCAUCCAGGCCUCCUGCCCAAGCUCCCCCAGCCCAGGUGCCUCUUGCUGGGCUACGCUCAGGUCGAGCCACAGGGUCCUUCUGGAGCCUUCCUUCAGGAGCCAUCUCCACUCCAGCUACAACCUCAGCUCCAGGCACAUCCAAAGCCCACCCUGCCUGCACCAGGCCCUUGCGAGGCAGCCCAGGAGGCUGGACAGGGCCAUUGGUUCCAGGGAGCUCAUUGUAAGAUCUGUGGGGCUCUGGAGUGGUGCUGGGCUAAGAUACGACCAUCACGGUCACAACCGCAUCUGCAACACACCGCCUCUUUAGAGACGAGAGGAACCACGGUCCUCCAGAGGAACCAAAGGAUCCUGGAGGAGAGGAGGAGGUGCAGGAGGAGGAGAAGGAGAAGGGAGGAGCAGGAGAGGGAGCGGAGGAGGGAGGUGCAGAGGAGGGAGAGAAGGGAGAGGGAGGGAGCAGUGCAAGAUGGCAGGAGCAAGGCAGAAGAUCCCAGACAGCGACAAUGCAUAAUUUCUUGAUCUUUAUGCAUAGUGGCAUCGGGCCUUACCCAUGUCGUGAGUAACUGAGAACCAAAAUACAGCUAAGUUCAUCCUACAGUUUGUGUUCUCCUUUUUGCAAGUGUAAUUGAAGGCAUAUUCUAUUGAUGGUAUUUACAUUGACAUUACACCGUUCUUCUUGAAU
rnacentral:lncRNA from 1 species